AUUCCAGCUCCAAUAGCGUAUAUUUAAGUUGCUGCAGUUAAAAAGCUCGUAGUUGGAUUUCGGGUGGGAAUGGCCGGUCCGCCGUUUCGGUGUGCACUUGCUAGUCCCACCUUGCUGCCGGGGACGUGCUCUUGGGUUUCGGCUCGGGACACGGAGUCGGCGAGGUUACUUUGAGUAAAUUAGAGUGUUCAAAGCAGGCCUACGCUCUGAAUACAUUAGCAUGGAAUAACACGAUAGGACUCUGGCCUAUCUUGUUGGUCUGUAGGACCGGAGUAAUGAUUAAGAGGGACAGUCGGGGGCAUUCGUAUUUCAUUGUCAGAGGUGAAAUUCUUGGAUUUAUGAAAGACGAACUACUGCGAAAGCAUUUGCCAAGGAUGUUUUCAUCG
rnacentral:rRNA from 1 species